rnacentral:rRNA from 1 species
CAACUUUCAGCAGUGGAUGUCUAGGCUCGCACAUCGAUGAAAAACGCUGCGAACUGCGAUACGUAAUGCGAAUUGCAGGAUUCAGUGAGUCAUCGAAAUUUUGAACCCAUAUUGCACUUCCGGGUUAGUCCUGGAAGUAUGCCUGUUUCAGUGUCCGUA